UACGGAGGGAGCUAGCGUUGUUCGGAAUUACUGGGCGUAAAGCGCACGUAGGCGGCUUUGUAAGUUAGAGGUGAAAGCCCGGGGCUCAACUCCGGAACUGCCUUUAAGACUGCAUCGCUUGAAUCUAGGAGAGGUGAGUGGAAUUCCGAGUGUAGAGGUGAAAUUCGUAGAUAUUCGGAAGAACACCAGUGGCGAAGGCGGCUCACUGGACUGGUAUUGACGCUGAGGUGGCGAAAAGCGUGGGGAGCAAACAGG
rnacentral:rRNA from 1 species